rnacentral:rRNA from 1 species
GUAGGUGGCAAGCGUUGUCCGGAAUUAUUGGGCGUAAAGCGCGCGCAGGCGGUUCUUUAAGUCUGAUGUGAAAGCCCACGGCUCAACCGUGGAGGGUCAUUGGAAACUGGAGAACUUGAGUACAGAAGAGGAAAGCGGAAUUCCACGUGUAGCGGUGUAAUGCGUAGAGAUGUGGAGGAACACCAGUGGCGAAGGCGGCUUUCUGGUCUGUAACUGACGCUGAGGCGCGAAAGCGUGGGGAGCAAACAGGAUUAGAUACCCUGGUAGUCCACGCCGUAAACGAUGAGUGCUAAGUGUUAGGGGGGUUUCCGCCCCCCUUAGUGCUGCAGCUAACGCAUUAAGCACUCCGCCUGGGAGUACGGCCGCAAGGCUG